rnacentral:sRNA from 1 species
CUUCUGAUAUAUACUCGUCGAAUACUCGUAUUAUUAUCCAAUUACUUCAUCAAUAUCCUACACGACCGUUUAAAUUUCAGUUUUCAUCUGUAUUGCAUUGCUUACAAAAUACGGUUUAAGCAAAAUCGGUCAACGGGGGCAAGAGAAUUAGUGUGACCUCGGACUAAGUGCUAAGUGCUAACUUAGCCCACUUGGCUCCCUCUAUUUAAACAGUUGAUCGAUUUGAGAUCAGCAUUGGCCCCAAAUCCAUCCUAAGUUUCAGUGUACUCCUUCGCCAAAUGCUGUCCCACAGCACAGGGAACUCAUUGGCAGCAUUCCCUUUUCUAACAAACAUGCAGCUCGUCGAGGAUUAAAACGAACGGCUCAUUCGCAUAAAGUUGAAGUUAAUAAUAGAAACGAACCUUUUCAAUAUUCUAUUUGAAGAUGGAAUCGUCUAAGAGGUUCCCGAUAUUAAAAAACCCAUAUAUAAAACCGAAUCUUCUUUAGUUGGUGUUGAACUUGUUGACUUCCGGUCUGCCGCAGCAGCUCCAACACCUGGACGCCUCCGCCCCUUCACUCCUGGACAGCCCUUACCUGGCCAGCAUCCCCUCGAUCCCGUCGAUGGAGUGCCCUGGUGGCCUGGUCUGCCACCACACAUCCCAUAUGGGAGCCACCACCAGCAGCAGCAGAUGAACACAAAGGAGGACGCUCUGGAGGAAGCAAAAGCAGCAACCAACAGCAGACGCCCCAGCAAUUGCAACUGCAAGACCAGCAGGCACUCACGGUAGCACCGACGUCGCCUCUCCAAAAACUGGGGCACGAAGGGAACGGCACACAUUACAAUAUUAUUGGCCGUUUCCGUUUCCAACCCGAUUCAGUUACCAAAACCGUUUCCAUUAAUGUACGACAUAUUUGAAGCUGUGGAAAAGGGUACCAGACUAACAUUUGGUCUAUAUCAAAUACAUAUUAAAAGUAACUUAUCAAUACAAAAUUUAGUACAAGUCCGGGUACGUUAAACUGACCAAACAUGGCAAGCACCCUGCCAAGUAUUUUGAUGGACAGAAAACGGCUGAGACAAGCAUGUCCGGAUGUGUCUUGUUGAUAUUCCCCAAUAAUUGCGGCUAUUUUGUAUUUGUAUUUCACUUUUAGCGGCUGUCCGAAUGUCUUCAGCUUUCGGCUAUUAAAGUGGCUCAGCCGGGAUGGUAGGGCUAAUUUUCGCAGAACCUUGCAGUUCCAAUCAUUACCAUUACAUAACAUGGAACGGAAUUGGCAACAUUCUACAUACCCUGAGGAAAGGGAUAUUAUAGAAUUGAAGAAAUAUUUGUCAUCUAAGUCGGCAAUGAAUGCAGAAUCUAGUCAGUAUAUGUUUAAGGCUAUCACAUCAAAAUUUUGCAGUUUAUUGUUUUAGCACAGAGACCAAGAAUUGGUAUCGGGAUCAGGAUAUGGUAUAUACAGGAAACUAAUUAAAUGCAUGAAAUAAAAUGCAUAAAACAUAUCAAUUUGAGAAAAGGUCUUUAUUAAUUAAUCUUUAAAAAAGCAUCUUCUAUCUUUGAAAUUAACGAAAUAAAGUAUACAAUUGCCCAGACACAGGCUAACAAGCAACAAAUACCAUCAAAAUACCACUUUUCACGAAUCGACAGCAGCAGCAGCAGAAGCAAAAACAACAACACCACCUUCAUUGUUAAUGGAAACACCUCGGGGCAUCAAAACAUCAAGCCCCCUGGCAAGACCCCAAGAAGACCAUUAAUUGAGCACGCCGGCGGCUUUAAUAGUUCUUAAGCAGUUGGGUAUUAGUGUCAGAGGGAAUCAAGUAGAAUGGAGUGGUAUCGAGCGGUAACUUGCAUUGCGUUUCGCAAAUAAAUUUACUUAAUUUAAA